rnacentral:rRNA from 1 species
AAUCCAUAGGUUAAUGAGGCGAACCGGGGGAACUGAAACAUCUAAGUACCCCGAGGAAAAGAAAUCAACCGAGAUUCCCCCAGUAGCGGCGAGCGAACGGGGAGGAGCCCAGAGCCUGAAUCAGCAUGUGUGUUAGUGGAAGCGUCUGGAAAGGCGCGCGAUACAGGGUGACAGCCCCGUACACAAAAGCGCAUGUGCUGUGAGCUCGAUGAGUAGGGCGGGACACGUGGUAUCCUGUCUGAAUAUGGGGGGACCAUCCUCCAAGGCUAAAUACUCCUGACUGACCGAUAGUGAACCAGUACCGUGAGGGAAAGGCGAAAAGAACCCCGGCGAGGGGAGUGAAAAAGAACCUGAAACCGUGUACGUACAAGCAGUGGGAGCACAGGUUUACCUGUGUGACUGCGUACCUUUUGUAUAAUGGGUCAGCGACUUAUAUUCUGUAGCAAGGUUAACCGUAUAGGGGAGCCGGAGGGAAACCGAGUCUUAACCGGGCGUUAAGUUGCAGGGUAUAGACCCGAAACCCGGUGAUCUAGCCAUGGGCAGGUUGAAGGUUGGGUAACACUAACUGGAGGACCGAACCGACUAAUGUUGAAAAAUUAGCGGAUGACCUGUGGCUGGGGGUGAAAGGCCAAUCAAACCGGGAGAUAGCUGGUUCUCCCCGAAAGCUAUUUAGGUAGCGCCUCGUGAACUCAUCUCCGGGGGUAGAGCACUGUUUCGGCUAGGGGGCCAUCCCGGCUUACCAACCCGAUGCAAACUGCGAAUACCGGAGAAUGUUAUCACGGGAGACACACGGCGGGUGCUAACGUCCGUCGUGAAGAGGGAAACAACCCAGACCGCCAGCUAAGGUCCCAAAGUCAUGGUUAAGUGGGAAACGAUGUGGGAAGGCCCAGACAGCCAGGAUGUUGGCUUAGAAGCAGCCAUCAUUUAAAGAAAGCGUAAUAGCUCACUGGUCGAGUCGGCCUGCGC